AAACGCGUUCACAUAUAAAAUCAAAGGCGUAACAGUAACGUAAAAACAACCAAUCUUUCUUCUGUUCGAUCUCUUCUCAUCUCCUAUAAAUCAAAACCCAAUCCACCACCGGUUUUCGGAUCUUUAUCCUCCCCGGACCGCAGCGCAAGACGUCGCCACGGCGGUUCUAGCUUUUUCUUGGGCCGGUUCGGAAUUAAUUGGUGCAGGUGGAGAGUUCCAAAGGGAUCGCAUUGAUCCGAUGCUCAUGGCUUUGAGUUUUAUUCGCUCAUCGGAUCAUGCGAUCCCUUCGGAAUUUUCCAUCAGUGGCUCCAAAUUGGCGCACUAAUCCUUCCCAGAGGUUCGAUCAAUUUGAGCUUUUACAGGUCUGUUGAGAUUUCUGCUGAUGCGAUUUGUUUUCUGUAGUUUCUCCCCGUUUUUAUUUUAAUCACAGAAAAAACUCGGCGACUGGUUUCUGAAAAUUCAUGAUUUGUGCUGUAUAACAUCAGAUCGAUAAAUUGGGAUUUUUUUUUCAGAUUUUAUGCAAUUUCUGGCAGAAAUAUAUUCUGGAUUUAAUUAUUAUAUUUUCAUCAUGGAUCAUCACCA